rnacentral:rRNA from 1 species
UACGUAGGGUGCAAGCGUUGUCCGGAAUUAUUGGGCGUAAAGAGCUCGUAGGCGGUCUGUCGCGUCGGCUGUGAAAACUCGGGGCUCAACCCCGAGCCUGCAGUCGAUACGGGCAGACUUGAGUGCUGUAGGGGAGACUGGAAUUCCUGGUGUAGCGGUGAAAUGCGCAGAUAUCAGGAGGAACACCGGUGGCGAAGGCGGGUCUCUGGGCCGUAACUGACGCUGAGGAGCGAAAGCGUGGGGAGCGAACAGG